GUUAGGAUUCGCGCCGUCGUCAUAAUUAUUUGAAUGUAAACAAAAACACCCUUCAAUACAAGGGUACAUUAUUGUAGUUAAUCCGAUAAGUGAGUUGUUUUGUAAAUAGGCAUAUUUUGUUGAGGUACCGAUAAUACUAUUAGGGUCACUACUUAUAGAUAAGAUUAACGGUUUAUCAUGACCAUGAUGGUGUCCUUAUAAAGUGCUUAUCGACUCGCCAAAUCUGGAUGAUAAAAGAACAAAAGGUUCUCUGUUAUUCAAUGUCAAUAU